AAAAGAAAUCAAUUGAAUUGAAUAUUUGUAAAAUUUUAGUUUCCAAACAAGGAGAUUAGCUUUGAAUGUCACCUUCAACAAUUUAUCAAUUUAAAUUCCCUUAAUAUCAAUCACCUUCAACAACCUGUAACUUAGAUGUGUGUUUACAAAUAACAUGAGUUCAAGUCAACAUCUAUGCUUACUGAUAUAACUUGUUUAGUCAUCUACACCAAGCAAUGUGGAUUCCAUUUUGCACUCACAGAUAUUCUCUGAAAAAGAGGUUGACAGUAAAGAAAAAACUUAUAUAAAUCCAGCCAGGUCAAUCAAACCAAAUUGAUAGACAAAAGAAUGGAUAUUUUUUUACCAUUUGUAAAAGGCACUAUAUUUAAAUAAUAAUAUCCUAAAUGUGGUCAAACAAUCAAAAUGACGGAGAAACAUUUCAGAAAUUCCAUAGUUCUUGAAUGCCAGACAAAAAACGUUACAGAAUUCAACAAUUAUAUGUUGGGGAGAUAUUGCAUGAUUAUUGUUAACAUGAACCAAAACCAACUUAAUCCCCAUUAGCAAAGUAAGGGUCGAAAACAUAAAUCAACAGAAAAG
rnacentral:misc_RNA from 1 species